AUUGAACGCUGGCGGCAGGCCUAACACAUGCAAGUCGAACGGUAGCACAGAGCGCUUGCUCUCGGGUGACGAGUGGCGGACGGGUGAGUAACGUCUGGGAAACUGCCCGAUGGAGGGGGAUAACUACUGGAAACGGUAGCUAAUACCGCAUAACGUCGCAAGACCAAAGUGGGGGACCUCCGGGCCUCACACAAUCGGCUGUGCCCAGAUGGGAUUAGCUAGUAGGUGGGGUAAUGGCUCACCUAGGCGACGAUCCCUAGCUGGUCUGAGAGGAUGACCAGCCACACUGGAACUGAGACACGGUCCAGACUCCUACGGGAGGCAGCAGUGGGGAAUAUUGCACAAUGGGCGCAAGCCUGAUGCAGCCAUGCCGCGUGUAUGAAGAAGGCCUUCGGGUUGUAAAGUACUUUCAGCGGGGAGGAAGGCGGUGAAGUUAAUAGCUUCACCGAUUGACGUUACCCGCAGAAGAAGCACCGGCUAACUCCGUGCCAGCAGCCGCAGUAA
rnacentral:rRNA from 1 species